rnacentral:lncRNA from 1 species
AUUCCAAUUCACUCAAUUUCCCUCCAAUAAUCACGCCAAAUAAAAGGUUUAUCACAUUGUGAACACUUACAAGAAUCAUUGAAAUCUACUAUCUAUUGUAUCCUGUAGGAAAGACCAAUGGCUGAAACAUCUCCCUCUUGAAUGCUAGGUUGCUAACAUGUAAUCAAAAUGCAGACAAAGUGUUCCUCUUGAAUGCUAGGUUGCCAACAUGUAAUCAAAAUGCAGACUCCAACGCUUUAUUUUCGGUCAGGUAUCUAAGCUCCAAAGCUGGGAACUUGAGUAACUCAAAUUUGGGAAACAUAGUGUUCUGCCACGAGACGGCGCAAAAUCUUGCCAGUGGCGGUCUUGGGCAAAGAAUCGGUAAUGAAGACCUUUUUGGGGACCUUGAAAGAUGCAAGAUUCUU